UACGUAGGGAGCAAGCGUUGUCCGGAAUCAUUGGGCGUAAAGCGCGCGUAGGUGGCCUCGUAAGUCCGCUGUGAAAGUCAAAGGCUCAACCUUUGAAAGCCGGUGGAUACUGUGAGGCUAGAGUACGGAAGAGGCGAGUGGAAUUCCUGGUGUAGCGGUGGAAUGCGCAGAUAUCAGGAGGAACACCAAUAGCGCAGGCAGCUCGCUGGGACGUAACUGACACUGAGGCGCGAAAGCGUGGGGAGCGAACAGG
rnacentral:rRNA from 1 species